CUAAGGUGUAAAAGAAGGGGAAAAAAAUAUAUGUGAAUGGUACUGGAAUAGCAUCAGACAUCUUCCAAAGGCUCCAAAGAAAAUACAGAAAGAAAAACAGAAAUAGUAGACUAUUUUCGAACAGAAAAUGUGUUCUAGUUAAAUGCAGCAUUGACAUCACAAUGGUCAACUGAAUUUUAUGUACAAGGCGCUUUACACAUGAUGACGUCAUAAUGUAGAGAUUUCAGAUCCCAACACAGAAAACAUGUUGAAAGUAAGCACCUCGAAAAUAUCUGAGAGGCAAUCAGUUACUUUCUUAGACCAUGAAUCUACUGCUGCUAGCCCACCAACGGGACCACCUCCAUCUGAAGCUACUGAAGCUAUUGAGGUAGAGACUCCUUCUGAAAGUUAUCAGAUAAGUGACAUACAGAUAGAGAUAGAUGAGGAGACUUUCUCGCUUGAAGAUGUUGAAUC